ACAGAUAGAAUUAAAGUUGCUCGUCAGCUGAUUGAGGAUAAGGAGAUUGGCCUGGAUUAUCCAGGUAGGCUCAAUGUAAUCACGAAGGGCCUUUAAAGUGAGAGAGGGAGGCAGAAGAGGAAGUCAGAGUGAUGUGCUGUGAAAUCUACUACCGUUUGCUGGUUUUGAAGAUGGAGAAAAAGAGUGAUGAACGAAACAUGGAUGGCCUUGGGAACCUGGAAAAGGGUCACUGAAAUGGGAUGACAUGAACUCAAGGAGGCUGUUUAUGACCAUAUCAUUUGCAACAUGGAGAAAGCUUAUCUGGAGUGAAAGUAAAUGAGACCAACAGAGAUAAGAGACCCAGAGAAAUCUUGGUUACACUGCUUGAAUCCUGUCAGUCUUGUACUGGAGUUCUGUUAAUACAAAAUAAUAGUAAUAAUCCCUUUCUUUCUUGUGUUUAUGUCAACUUCAACAAAAAGAAACUUGACUAAGAGACAAUAUAAGAAUUUAAUGUGUAAUUAAGAAAGAACUCUCCACCACGGGGAAUGUGAAAGGUAUAUGAGUCCCUUUUUACGAUGCGAUGUCAUGUCUUUUAAAUAAGCCAUACUUUAUGUUCAAUAAAAAGAGAAUAAGCA